CCUACGGGUGGCUGCAGUGGGGAAUAUUGCACAAUGGGCGCAGGCCUGAUGCUGCCAUGCCGCGUGUGUGAAGAAGGCCUUCGGGUUGUAAAGCACUUUCAGCGGGGAGGAAGGCGGUGAGGUUAAUAACCUCAUCGAUUGACGUUACCCGCAGAAGAAGCACCGGCUAACUCCGUGCCAGCAGCCGCGGUAAUACGGAGGGUGCAAGCGUUAAUCGGAAUUACUGGGCGUAAAGCGCACGCAGGCGGUCUGUCAAGUCGGAUGUGAAAUCCCCGGGCUCAACCUGGGAACUGCAUUCGAAACUGGCAGGCUAGAGUCUUGUAGAGGGGGGUAGAAUUCCAGGUGUAGCGGUGAAAUGCGUAGAGAUCUGGAGGAAUACCGGUGGCGAAGGCGGCCCCCUGGACAAAGACUGACGCUCAGGUGCGAAAGCGUGGGGAGCAAACAGGAUUAGAUACCCUUGUAGUC
rnacentral:rRNA from 1 species